AAUGAUUUGUUUCAAGCAUCAUUUUUAAAAAAAAUAUAUUUACCUUUAAUAUAUAAUAUAAAAUUAUUUAUAUAUUAUAUUGUAGAAAAUAGAUUGAAUGAGCUGUAAAUGUAAAUGGUUGUUGCACGGUUGUUCUUAGAAUAAUCUGUAAUAGUAACCUUUUAUGCAGCUAAUUAAGACAAACUUCCUGUGUUGCUUUGCAUGUAUUUGAUGCUCUUUUAACUGCAGAUCAUUAACAUGCAUCUGGUUCCUCCUGACAGCAGCAGACUAGAGUCUGUUCACCCAUCGAUGUCCUGAACUCUAAAAAGUGUGUGUAAGUGUGUGUGUGAUUGCAUGUGUGCAUGACUGCAAUGCAUGGUCCAUGUUUGUGUAAUGUAGUUUUUAUGUAAGCAAUGCACAUACUGUACAUAACUUGUGUGUGUAAUUGCAUAUACAAGUGUGCAAUUUGUGAAUGUGUAUGUCAUGCAUAAUGCAUGCAGCAUGUUUGUGCACAUACUUGUGAUUUGUUUAUGUGCAUAUGUGUGUGAUUUAUUUGUCGAUUUGUGUGCAUUGUGAAAUAUGCAUAGUGAUUUGUUUGUGUUUGCGUAUGUGUGUGAAUAAUACAUAUAGCAUGUGAUUGCAUGUGAGCGAUCGUGUGAAUAAUGCAUCCUCUGCCUCUCCACAGCAUCUGUAGGACUUGAUGACAUCAUUAAGGCGCAGCAACACUUAGCAUGCAUGCUAAUUGCGUGUCCUUUCUUUCAGUGCAUCGUUUUGCACAUUUUAUUCUCUGGGUUUUCUCCCUCAAAUCACCAUCCGUAUCCUGCCUGCGCUGGUCUCUGCUCUGCUAGUUUGUCAGAUGGUCUUGAGAGAAUUCGUAAAAAGCCAGAGAAGAGGACAAGAGAGCAGCCGAAAGACAUAAGUGAGAUCUCUGAUUGAGGUCCUUGAAAAUAAAAAAAAUAUAGUGCUUGAAAAGUCCUUGAAAGUCCUGUCAUUCUGACGGCACCCAUUCACAUCCAUUGGUGAGCAAGUGAUGCAAGGCUGCAUUUCUCCAAAUGUGAUGAAGAAACAAACUCAGCUACAUCUUGGAUGGCCUGAGGGCCACAAUCAAACACUUGUCUUCAAAACGGCAAUUUACACACUCAGGCUUUGUUCUCAGCGAGCCGUAAGAGUCCUCGGCCGGGCUGGAGGAGCUGAGAGAGGCGUUUGAGAUCAGAGAGAG